rnacentral:lncRNA from 1 species
CCCGAAGUCACAGGAAGACCAAAAAGAUCAUCAAGCACAACAACCACCCGAGCCACUGCCUGUUCACCCCGCUAUCAUCCAGAAGGCGAGAAAACCUUGCAGGCCCAUCAUCCUCUCUGUUUGAGAGAGUCAGGCUGUUCCUUAGCCUACUGUGUCAGGUGAAAGAACCAUCUGCACACCCCACUCUCCUCCUCCUCAUCCCACUCUCCCCCAAUUAUCUCUCCUCCGGCAUGGCUGACCCCGACCGUCACACCCAGCCGCGAGGCCACACCAACAUGCCUCGCCGGCUCAGCAUCCGAGCUUCGCCUCACCGUUCCUGGGGUCAGCUAGAACACUGGCUAGAUGGAUGUAAUCUGUAUGGUCAGCAGGGCCUGGCUAGCUGCUGGCUGAAUGACUGGCUGACUGUCAUUGUAUAGUCGGUGGGGCCUGACAAACAGCAGAGAGAGAAAGACAGAGAAACAGAGGUGUGUGGCUAUGUUCAUCAAGUUGGAUGAGUCCUUGAGCAAAGUCAGGACAGUGGUACAUUGCCCUGCAGGCAGAGCCCUGAGGACUCAAACAGUAAGACCACACGCUUGAUGUGUCUAUGAACCUGGAAUACCAAACUCAGAGGCUGUUUACACAGGCAGCCUAAUUCUG